AUUGAACGCUGGCGGCAUGCUUUACACAUGCAAGUCGAACGGCAGCGGGGUAGUGCUUGCACUACUGCCGGCGAGUGGCGAACGGGUGAGUAAUAUAUCGGAACGUACCGAGUAAUGGGGGAUAACCAAUCGAAAGAUUGGCUAAUACCGCAUACGUCCUGAGGGAGAAAGCGGGGGAUCGCAAGACCUCGCGUUAUUCGAGCGGCCGAUAACUGAUUAGCUAGUUGGUGGGGUAAAGGCCUACCAAGGCGACGAUCAGUAGCGGGUCUGAGAGGACGAUCCGCCACACUGGGACUGAGACACGGCCCAGACUCCUACGGGAGGCAGCAGUGGGGAAUUUUGGACAAUGGGGGCAACCCUGAUCCAGCCAUGCCGCGUGUAUGAAGAAGGCCUUCGGGUUGUAAAGUACUUUUGUUAGGGAAGAAAAGGGAAGCGCUAAUGCCACUUUUUGCUGACGGUACCUAAAGAAUAAGCACCGGCUAACUACGUG
rnacentral:rRNA from 1 species